rnacentral:rRNA from 1 species
UACAUAGGUGACAAGCGUUAUCCGGAAUUACUGGGCGUAAAGCGCACGCAGGCGGUCAGAUAAGUCUGAUGUGAAACCUUCUGGCUUAACCAGAAGGCGUCGUUGGAUACUGUUUGACUUGAGGCGAUGAGAGGAAUGCGGAAUCCCCGGUGUGAUGGUGGAAUAUGUAGAUAUCGGGGGGAACAUCUGAGGCGAAAGCGGCAUUCUGGCAUUAGCCUGACGCUCAUGUGCGAAAGCGUGGGGAGCAAACGGG